rnacentral:rRNA from 1 species
GGCAGCAGUGGGGAAUCUUCCGCAAUGGGCGCAAGCCUGACGGAGUAACGCCGCGUGAGUGAAGAAGGCCUUCGGGUUGUAAAACUCUGUCAUCAGGGAAGAAGAAAGUGACGGUACCUGAGGAGGAAGCCCCGGCUAACUACGUGCCAGCAGCCGCGGUAAAACGUAGGGGGCGAGCGUUGUCCGGAAUUACUGGGCGUAAAGGGCGCGUAGGCGGUUAUCCAAGUCAGGGGUGAAAACCUUGGGCUCAACUCAGGGUCUGCCUCUGAAACUGGGUAACUUGAGGGCAGGAGAGGGGAGUGGAAUUCCCAGUGUAGCGGUGAAAUGCGUAGAUAUUGGGAGGAACACCAGUGGCGAAGGCGGCUCUCUGGCCUAACCCUGACGCUGAGGCGCGAAAGCGUGGGGAUCAAACAGGAUUAGAUACCCUGGUAGUCCACGCCGUAAACGAUGAGUACUAAGUGU